rnacentral:rRNA from 1 species
AGUGAACGCUGGCGGUAGGCCUAACACAUGCCAGUCGAACGGCAGCACAGUAAGAGCUUGCUCUUACGGGUGGCGAGUGGCGGACGGGUGAGGAAUACAUCGGAAUCUACUUUUUCGUGGGGGAUAACGUAGGGAAACUUACGCUAAUACCGCAUACGACCUACGGGUGAAAGCAGGGGAUCUUCGGACCUUGCGCGAUUGAAUGAGCCGAUGUCGGAUUAGCUAGUUGGCGGGGUAAAGGCCCACCAAGGCGACGAUCCGUAGCUGGUCUGAGAGGAUGAUCAGCCACACUGGAACUGAGACACGGUCCAGACUCCUACGGGAGGCAGCAGUGGGGAAUAUUGGACAAUGGGCGCAAGCCUGAUCCAGCCAUACCGCGUGGGUGAAGAAGGCCUUCGGGUUGUAAAGCCCUCUUGUUGGGAAAGAAAAGCAGCAGGUUAAUACCCCGCUGCUCUGACGGUACCCAAAGAAUAAGCACCGGCUAACUUCGUG